UCCGGGAGCUGCUCCGCGUUUUUCCAUUGGCUGCAGCCGGGCGCAGCUGGCCCCGUGCACGCUGCCAUUGGCCCCGCAGCUGUCACGCAAAGGAGGCGAGCGGGUCUCCGGCUGCCUCUCCCGGGAGCUGUUGUUGUUGUCCUUACCGCAGACUUGCAGGGGGAUCCUCGGGGGAAGCUGCCCGGCUCGGCUGAGUCCUGCUCCGGUUCCUCCUGCUCCGGUUCCUCCUGCUCCUGCUCCUGCUCCGGUUCCUCCUGCUCCUGCUCCGGUUCCUCCUGCUCCGGUUCCUCCUGCUCCUGCUCCGGCUCCUGUCAUUGAAGGAAGGAGAACAACACGAAGAGGGGACGCACACACACAACCAGGGGGUUUACACUUCUCCUCCGCUGCCUGCAUCCACCAAUCAUGUCGCUUUCUACUCCUCCAUCAUUACCGGGUGUGAAGGACAGAAAAAAGACAGGAGACAUUCCACGUCCUUUGCAGGAUCAGGUUGCGUCUCCCGGAUGUUCCGUUUGUUUGCACGACUUGGUUUUGUUUGUGUUUGGAGCCGAGAGGAUGAAACUCGCCUCCUAACUUCACCUCAAGUCUUUCACCUGCUACUGCUGAACUCAAACUAAAGAAGAUGACCGUUCUUUAGUGACACACUUCAAUGCUGCUUUUAAAAUAUAGAUAUUAUAGAAGACAUUCAUGUUUGCACGAGGUUGGUUUUGUUUGUGUGUGGAGCUGAGAGGAUGAAACUCUCCUCCUCUCCUGACUUCACCUCAAGUCUUCAACCCUCCUGCCACUGUCCUGAGUUUAAACUAUUAAACUACUCUCGUUUAUCUUGUUGUAUCCUUUCAGUGUUUUAUCAUUUUGUGUUUUUAGGACAGGUGCAAUAUUCAGCUAACCUUUAUUCUGCAUUAGUAUUCGGGGUCUUACGAUAUGACCUUGUGUACUGUUGUUGUUGUUGUUGUUGUACAAUGUUCUGCAGCUGCUGUAGCACUUUGGCCCAAGACAAAUUUACCUACAGGACAAUAAAGUAUAUUUGAUUUGAUUUCAUACACUCAAAUCAAACUUUGCAGUCAACUCAUGACCAGCAGCCCUCUGCACAUCUGGUUUCCUGCCUGUUUGCACUUUAUUUGGGAAAUGUGAAACAACGGAUACACACACGGUGCAAUAACUACACACAGACACACACUCCAUACAGUUAAAGUUGUUACUUCAUUUGCACCUUUUGACUGUAUAUAGUUUGUUUUGUAUUCUGACUUGUGUACAGGAAGCUCUUUCUACAUCGCUUGUAUUUUAAUUUAACUAUCGCACUGCUGAGCUGAGCAGUUUCGUAUCCAACACUUUUCAUUGUACUGUUGACCCUGUGUUAACUCGCAUCUGACCAAUAAAACUUCAAACCUU